UUGACGUUAGCGGCGGACGGGUGAGUAACACGUGGGUAACCUACCUAUAAGACUGGGAUAACUUCGGGAAACCGGAGCUAAUACCGGAUAAUAUUUCGAACCGCAUGGUUCGAUAGUGAAAGAUGGCUUUGCUAUCACUUAUAGAUGGACCUGCGCCGUAUUAGCUAGUUGGUAAGGUAACGGCUUACCAAGGCAACGAUACGUAGCCGACCUGAGAGGGUGAUCGGCCACACUGGAACUGAGACACGGUCCAGACUCCUACGGGAGGCAGCAGUAGGGAAUCUUCCGCAAUGGGCGAAAGCCUGACGGAGCAACGCCGCGUGAGUGAUGAAGGUCUUCGGAUCGUAAAACUCUGUUAUUAGGGAAGAACAAACGUGUAAGUAACUGUGCACGUCUUGACGGUACCUAAUCAGAAAGCCACGGCUAACUACGUGCCAGCAGCCGCGGUAAUACGUAGGUGGCAAGCGUUAUCCGGAAUUAUUGGGCGUAAAGCGCGCGUAGGCGGUUUUUUAAGUCUGAUGUGAAAGCCCACGGCUCAACCGUGGAGGGUCAUUGGAAACUGGAAAACUUGAGUGCAGAAGAGGAAAGUGGAAUUCCAUGUGUAGCGGUGAAAUGCGCAGAGAUAUGGAGGAACACCAGUGGCGAAGGCGACUUUCUGGUCUGUAACUGACGCUGAUGUGCGAAAGCGUGGGGAUCAAAC
rnacentral:rRNA from 1 species